UCUUAUUACUAUGGCCUGUAGGUCUACUCUACUGACUAUCAAUGGCCUGUAGGUCUACUCUACUGACUAUCUAUGUCCUGUAGGUCUACUCUACUGACUAUCUAUGUCCUGUAGGUCUACUCUACUGACUAUCUAUGGCCUGUAGGUCUACUCUACUGACUAUCUAUGUCCUGUAGGUCUACUCUACUGACUAUCUAUGGCCUGUAGGUCUACUCUACUGACUAUUAAUGGCCUGUAGGUCUACUCUACUGACUAUCUAUGUCCUGUAGGUCUACUCUACUGACUAUCUAUGUCCUGUAGGUCUACUCUACUGACUAUCUAUGGCCUGUAGGUCUACUCUACUGACUAUCUAUGUCCUGUAGGUCUACUCUACUGACUAUCUAUGUCCUGUAGGUCUACUCUACUGACUAUCUAUGUCCUGUAGGUCUACUCUACUGACUAUCUAUGUCCUGUAGGUCUACUCUACUGACUAUCUAUGUCCUGUAGGUCUACUCUACUGACUAUCUAUGUCCUGUAGGUCUACUCUACUGACUAUUAAUGGCCUGUAGGUCUACUCUACUGACUAUCUAUGGCCUGUAGGUCUACUCUCCUGACUAUCUAUGUCCUGUAGGUCUACUCUCCUGACUAUCUAUGUCCUGUAGGUCUACUCUACUGACUAUCUAUGGCCUGUAGGUCUACUCUACUGACUAUCUAUGUCCUGUAGGUCUACUCUACUGACUAUCUGGCCUGUAGGUCUACUCUACUGACUAUCUAUGUCCUGUAGGUCUACUCUACUGACUAUCUAUGGCCUGUAGGUCUACUCUACUGACUAUCUGGCCUGUAGGUCUACUCUACUGACUAUCUGGCCUGUAGGUCUACUCUACUGACUAUCUAUGUCCUGUAGGUCUACUCUACUGACUAUCUAUGUCCUGUAGGUCUACUCUACUGACUAUCUAUGUCCUGUAGGUCUACUCUACUGACUAUCUAUGUCCUGUAGGUCUACUCUACUGACUAUCUAUGUCCUGUAGGUCUACUCUACUGACUAUCUAUGUCCUGUAGGUCUACUCUACUGACUAUUAAUGGCCUGUAGGUCUACUCUACUGACUAUCUAUGUCCUGUAGGUCUACUCUACUGACUAUCUAUGUCCUGUAGGUCUACUCUACUGACUAUCAAUGGCCUGUAGGUCUACUCUACUGACUAUCUAUGUCCUGUAGGUCUACUCUACUGACUAUCAAUGGCCUGUAGGUCUACUCUACUGACUAUCUAUGGCCUGUAGGUCUACUCUACUGAAUAUGGCCUGUAGGUCUACUCUACUGACUAUCUGGCCUGUAGGUCUACUCUACUGACUAUCUGGCCUGUAGGUCUACUCUACUGACUAUCUAUGUCCUGUAGGUCUACUCUACUGACUAUCUAUGUCCUGUAGGUCUACUCUACUGACUAUCUAUGGCCUGUAGGUCUACUCUACUGACGAUCAAUGGCCUGUAGGUCAACUCUCUUUAAAGAAUUUCAGGUCUUCUCUCUCCAUUGGUUCUAAACCAAAACCCUUCAGCAUGCUGGGCCGUGUGGUCUCUUUAGCCAUAUUCUGAUCUGAAAGACUCACAUUCAAUAGUCUUUUCUAUCGCCACGGAAACCAAAUGAGUGCUGAAACGGGUAGUAAUGUGAGACUCUAGGAUGCCGUCUGUGUCAGGUCAGAGGUCAGUAUGAUGUAGUCAGGGACUGUUUGACUGGCCACACUUCCCCGUGCCAGACGGCCAUUACAGAGACUUAACCAGCUGCUUUCCAAUUGGUUCCCUGACCUCUCCUCAUCCCCUACACUGACCUCUCCUCAUCUCCUACACUGACCUCUCCUCAUCCCCUACACUGACCUCUCCUCGUCCCCUACACUGACCUCUCCUCAUCCCCUACACUGACCUCUCCUCAUCCCCUACACUGACCUCUCCCCAUCCCCUACACUGACCUCUCCUCAUCCCAUACACUGACCUCUCCUCAUCCCUUCCACUGACCUCUCCUCAUCCCCUACACUGACCUCUCCUCAUCCCCUACACUGACCUCUCCUCAUCUCCUACACUGACCUCUCCUCAUCCCUUCCACUGACCUCACCUCAUCCCCUACACUGACCUCUCCUCAUCCCCUACACUGACCUCUCCUCAUCCCCUACACAGACCUCUCCUCAUCCCUUACACUGACCUCUCCUCAUCCCCUACACUGACCUCUCCUCAUCCCCUACACUGACCUCUCCUCAUCCCCUACACUGACCUCUCCUCAUCCCAUACACUGACCUCUCCUCAUCCCUUACACUGACCUCUCCUCAUCCCCUACACUGACCUCUCCUCAUCCCCUACACUGACCUCCCCUCAUCCCUUACACUGACCUCUCCUCAUCCCUUACACUGAUCUCUCCUCAUCCCCUACACUGACCUCUCCUUAUCCCUUACACUGACCUCUCCUCAUCCCUUACACUGACCUCUCCUCAUCCCUUACACUGACCUCUCCUCAUCCCUUACACUGACCUCUCCUCAUCCCUUACACUGACCUCUCCUCAUCCCCUACACUGACCUCUCCUCAUCCCCUACACUGACCUCUCCUCAUCCCUUACACUGACCUCUCCUCAUCCCCUACACUAACCUCUCCUCAUCCCCUACACUGACCUCUCCUCAUCCCCUACACUGACCUCUCCUCAUCCCUUACACUGACCUCUCCUCAUCCCUUACACUGAUCUCUCCUCAUCCCUUACACUGACCUCUCCUCAUCCCCUACACUGACCUCUCCUCAUCCCUUACACUGACCUCUCCUCAUCCCCUACACAGACCUCUCCUCAUCCCUUACACUGACCUCUCCUCAUCCCAUACACUGACCUCUCCUCAUCCCCUACACUGACCUCUCCUCAUCCCCUACACCGACCUCUCCUCAUCCCCUACACAGACCUCUCCUCAUCCCCUACACUGACCUCUCCUCAUCCCCUACACUGACCUCUCCUCAUCCCCUACACAGACCUCUCCUCAUCCCCUACACUGAACUCUCCUCAUCCCCUACACUGACCUCUCCUCAUCCCCUACACUGACCUCUCCUCAUCCCCUACACUGACCUCUCCUCAUCCCCUACACUGACCUCUCCUCAUCCCCUACACUGACCUCUCCUCAUCCCCUACACUGACCUCUCCUCAUCCCCUACACAGACCUCUCCUCAUCCCCUACACUGACCUCUCCUCAUCCCCUACACUGACCUCUCCUCAUCCCCUACACUGACCUCUCCUCAUCCCCUACACUGACCUCUCCUCAUCCCUUACACAGACCUCUCCUCAUCCCCUACACUGACCUCUCCUCAUCCCUUACACAGACCUCUCCUCAUCCCCUACAC